rnacentral:rRNA from 1 species
CAGUCGCCGCGGUAAUACAGAGGGUGCAAGCGUUAAUCGGAAUUACUGGGCGUAAAGCGCGCGUAGGUGGUUUGUUAAGUUGGAUGUGAAAUCCCCGGGCUCAACCUGGGAACUGCAUCCAAAACUGGCAAGCUAGAGUAUGGUAGAGGGUGGUGGAAUUUCCUGUGUAGCGGUGAAAUGCGUAGAUAUAGGAAGGAACACCAGUGGCGAAGGCGACCACCUGGACUGAUACUGACACUGAGGUGCGAAAGCGUGGGGAUCAAACAGGAUUAGAUACCCCCGUAGUCCCUGUCUCUUAUAC